AUCAACCAGAAGCACGCCGGAGAGCACAUAAGAAAAUAUAUAUUUAAUUUUAAAAGAAAACACAAUGUGCUCAUCCAUCUAGGAAUAUCUCCCUAUUUGGAUCGCCGUCCUAGUUUAUACAUCGGUGGUGGCGUGCUUUGGCCAUAACAAUUCUAACAUGUUAAUUACCAUAGCACCCCCCACCCCCUUAUAGCUAUCGUGGCCUCGCUACUGACUGUUCGUCUUAGGAUGGCCUGCAACAAAACAUCGGGGAUCGGCGAGGCUCCGCAGACGAAAUCGAUGUGCCAGGACAGGUAGGAUUUCCAACGUGGGGAACACCCACACCUGAGAUGUCUCAUUCCGGGCUCUAGACAACAGAUGGUUGGUAACCAUUUCCAGACCCAAUGUUGUCGGCGUGUUGCUGUUCUUGACGCCGCAAAAUGUAACCAUCAACCGGAACUCCUUGUCAAGAUGGAUGUGCGACAGACCACCGGCUCAUUAAGAUUGCUGUGUCAUAUCUCUACCUGACCACGUACGUGUCCCUCGACUCAGCCACUUUAUGCAAGCAUCAUCUCGUCUUCCAUUUCUCAGCCUUCUGGACGGUUGCCAGACAACUAGUUGGACACAGUUGAGGACAAACGGACACACACAAACUGGACUGUCUUCGUAUGGUAGGCGUCUUACACAGCUCCUGGCCAGAUAUCACAAAAGGAAUCACCGUCGG